AAUAAGAGAAUGACAAAUCAUAUUUUUUUCUCUUGAUUUUCAGGUUUUUCCCCCUAAAAAAAUUCGAAUCCAACUAAAAAUGUUCAAAAUGAAGAGGAAAAUAUGAUUUGUCAUUCUCCUAAU
rfam:Gossypium hirsutum cultivar TM-1 chromosome 12, whole genome shotgun sequence